AGUUCUGUGGCUUAACUGGUCUCAGCUUGGCAUCUCUCUUGUAGUUGAAGUCAAAUAGAGGCUAGGGCUACAUUCGUCUAAAGGUUCAGUUGAGUUGGAAUGUGGCAUGGCUGGCAGUUGAUGAUGACUGUUUCCUAGGAGUUCUGCUGGAGCUACAUGCCUGAACACCAACCAAUAACCUUUUCAUGUGGCUGAGACCUUUCAUAUGGCCACAGUCCUCAGAGACAGCAUCCCAAGAGUGAUCCUUUUAAGAGGCUCAGGUGCAAGGCUAGUCUAGCCUGCUGGACAAUGAGAGGCCUACGGAACAGGGCGGAGUCACCAUAUCCCACUGAAACUGGCCUAGGUUAGCCAACAGCCCACCUCUCCCAGGCACGUGAAAGCUCAGCGGACUCUGAACAGAUGGACAAUAAACAUUUACUGUGUUUGCCACA
rnacentral:lncRNA from 1 species